rnacentral:lncRNA from 1 species
CCCUGUAAACAACAUUUCAGCCGGGCCUUUGCUGAGACACAGCUAAUUUUAUGCCUCAUCAGAAGGACCGCAUUUCACUCCCCAAAAUAAUUUUAAUCCUGCUCCUAAUUCGCCUACAUUAACACUCAGAAGUGAUUAUAGUUGCACAACACGAAGUAAUCAAGUUUAAGCAUUGUACAUGGUGCUCAGCAGUUUCUGCCCAAGGCAGAACAUACCAUCAACAAAUUCGUUAGCAGGGUUGCCCUUUGGAGACCGUCUGUGGAUUUUCUGUUGACAGAAGUAUUUCCUUUAUUCCCAGGGUAUUUGCCCAGAGUAUCCCCUGGAACGCCAAAAGAAAAGCACGAUAAAGAGGCUGCCUUCAUAGCCCUUCAUACACAACUCAGAGUUUGUAUCAGGCCCUCUGGGCCUUUUUGCUUUGCUUUUCAACUCAUCUCAGCUAGUUUACUUUGGGACGGAUCCAGAAGUCCUCACUGAGGCACAGAUUCACCGCCUCCAGAUGACCAGAUCUUGACAGAAGUCUCGGCUCCCAGUAAGCAGACAGCCAAGUCAAUCAGGCUACCUCUCUGCUAAUCAAUUAAAAGUGCCAUGGACUUUUUCCUUGGAUGACGGCCAGCUGGCAGGGGAUGAGCCAUGCCCAUGGCCAUUAACUCCCUCCACCUGCAGAACGAAGGGGCAGGGUCUCUGACCCAUGUGGGCCUGGCCAGGAGCACUGUUGGCAUGGCCCAAAAACAUGGGGAGAUGGCUCCUGGAGCCGAGCAGCACCAGGACUGACCUCCUGCGUGUGGGUAGGGAUGAGUAAUGCCACGCUCAAUUUCCUUAAUGCGGCUCUGUGUCCUUUAUGCAGCAGCGGAGGGACUCGUGUGGUGUAUGGGCUUCCACAGGACCUGCACGUUGCUGCCUUCUGGCCACAUCACGUUUGCUCUCCCCACAGCCCCACCUGGGGUCUGCCCAACGCAGCCUUUGCCAAAGCUCACAGCCAUGGGUGGCAGCAAGCAGCCGGGGGCUGUGGUGGAUAAAACCUGGCACCAUCAGAAGGAAAUGCAGUGUUAAAGCUCCAGGGUCACUGUUGGAGAUG